GCCUGGGUGGCUCAGUUGGUUAAGCAUCUGACUUCAGCUCAGGUCAUGAUCUCGCAGUCUGUGAGUUUGAGCCCCACGUCAGGCU
rnacentral:tRNA from 1 species